AGGCUGCAACUCGCCUGUAUGAAGUCGGAAUUGCUAGUAAUCGUGGAUCAGCAUGCCACGGUGAAUACGUUCCCGGGCCUUGUACACACCGCCCGUCACACCAUGAGAGUCGGGAACACCCGAAGUCCGUAGCCUAACCGCAAGGGGGCGCGGCCGAAGGUGGGUUCGAUAAUUGGGGUGAAGUCGUAACAAGGUAAC
rnacentral:rRNA from 1 species